rnacentral:lncRNA from 10 species
UGCGGACCCGGGAGCGCGCGGCCGCGCUGCACGUGCAGGGACCGGUAGGCGCCGGGGUCAGCGCCAGCGUUUGAUGUGCGGCGGGGAGCGGGCCGAGCCCCGGGAGGCCGCUUCGCACCUCCCAGUGUGUCCGGGUUGAGCGCGAGGUCAGGAGGGGACGCAGAGUUCACGGCGAAGACGGAUCGCGGGGGCUCGUCCCGCCCGGGUUGCGCGCAGCGGGGGCCGCGUGAUGGAUGGGCCGGGCCGGGCACCCGGGAACCCGCGAGCGCGGGGCUGGGCUCUGGGCUGCGUCCGGGGGCCCCGACUUGGUUAUUGAUCGGCCCAAGCGCAGGAGAACUGACUCUAUAAUGCAUCGCCUGACCAGGAAAAGUGUUUGCUUUUGUGGGAGCAAAAGACAACUUUCUGCCCCGCCAGAGCGUUGCUAAGUGAGCGGUAAUGACCACGCUAGAAAUUUCAUAGGGAGAGGCUAAUGGCAGGCUGACUCUAAAAGUGCUUUUAAGUGCAACUUCUGUCUAAUCCCUUGAGGGGGAAGAAAACAUCGGCGACUAAGAAAGUUCAAGUUGUACAGGACCCGGGUUUUUGGGGUCGGGGUCACUUCUGCUCUGCGUGACUUUGAAGAGGAAGACCUGCGGUUUUUUCCAGUGGAUUUUCACACGUGUUUUAAAGAGAACUCCCGGCUCCUGAAAUGAAAGGCCCGCCUGUAGGGUUUUGCUGCCUCCCCUCUGCCCACGCCCCACCCCCACAGCCUGGAUCAAAGCGAUCAGACAAAUUAUUCAGAAGUAACACAGCCCUGAAAUGUUCCUAAACGUGACUAUUUGAGGCGAUGAAUCAAGCGUGUUCCCUCCGCCCCCAACCCACCCCCAGACCGAAAAUGUGACUCUGGAAACGGACUUGCAGAGCUGGCUUCGGUUUAUAUGCGGUUCUGACCCCUGUUGACUUUAGGACAAGCCUUCCUGUUUCCAGUACUGCAGCAUCGCCAGACAGCCUCGCCAUGCAAUCGGCUUUCCAGAUACGAUUUCACUCCUCACCAAAGACACUUCUUUAGGGCGAUUUUAGGAUUCUAUCAACGCUAGUAAAGGAACUACUUAAACACGUUGAUUUGUAUCGCCUUCCCUGACUAUGAAACAUUGAAGUGGAAUACUACUCAUCAAUAAAAAAAAUAUAAACUCCUGAUACACCUCAUGGAUGGAUGCAUAGAUGGAUGGAUGGAUCUGAAAAACAUCGUGCUGAAUAAAAGAAGCCAGACAUGAAAGAAACAUUUGACUUUUGAUGUCAAAAACUAGAAUUUUACAUUUUUUAGAAUUUUGUUCCAGAAUGUUGUCCAUAUUGCAUAAAGUUGUGUCAUUUCCUACUCAAACAAAGACUAUCUACCUGAAUGCUUGCAACACGACAAGAAUAAUAACAGGGGCCUCGCAGGACUCUGCACAGCCCGCACAAAGGACGUAGGAUUCUGCACUGGCAGAACUGGAUGUAAUGUUGCCCUGAGAAACAUUCAUUUAUUUCAGAGUGAAACCCGUUAAAAUGGAAGUGUGUAGGAUUUGGGUUGGCUGGAUGCAAGCUUCCCUCUGCAGCGGGAUGAGGCUGCCACUACCAGGAGCACGCUGGCCUGCCGGCGGGAGGAACAGAUGCCAGAGGAGACCUGACUGUGUCCUCAAGGCCAUGCCCCAUCAGCCAUCCCAGCAGAGCCCACAGCCACCCACAGAGGAAUGAGGAUCCCCAUCCAGGAUCACCGGAACUGCACAACUGACUCACAAACGUGUGAAGAGUAAUGGGUAACGUGUUGAACUGUGAGCCUUUGAGCCUGGGGAGGUUUGUGAUGCAGCAGUAGCUCCCAGACCCUUGAGGCUCUUCGGCACGAAGGUGCUGAGCCAUGCACCUAUGCAAAGCCAAACUCUGCACUAGGCCUACUGGGGUGUGCAGAGAGAGAGGGCUGAACAAACUGCGGUUCCACCCAGAAGACCCAGAAGAACAUUUACGGAGGAGUCAGUGCAAGAGGCGAGAGAGCAUGCGUGAAGAGGCUCGUUCUUGUGGUGUAGAAAAGGAGGCCAGAGUCUCCCAGACCACGAUUCUUUUCCUUUAGGUGUUUCUUGGGCAUUUUCAAUCUUAAAUCUCUUCCCAUGUUAUUGAGAUUUCUGAUUGAAUGUCCCCAUUUUCCCUCAGACAGCAGGCCGUGUGUGAGUCACCACCUCCAUCUUUCUAUGUCCUGGGUGUGGGCCCAGUGAAGGACAGUUAUGGAAAUUUAGAGAGAAGAGGUCGCAGGUGUGGUGGGGGUGGUGAAGCUUCAGAAGAGAAAAGAAGCAUGGUGGAGAGGGUGGACUCUGGAGGCUACUGCAGAGCUCUCCCCCAGGCUAUGAGGGGGCAUGAUGGUCCCAAUAGCCUGAGUCUGUGUUCAUUUCAACUGGCUACCUUGUGACGAGGAAGAUGGCCCAGGUUCCCAGUGGGAAAUCUAUGGUUAUCAUUAAGAACGCAGGGCCUGAGAUGAAACCUGGCAGGUGAAAGGCACCUGGUUUUAUGCAACCUGGUUUUGCAGAAGCCUGUGGGAGGGGGCCCAGGGGGGAAGGGAGCAGAGGGCAGUGUUGGCUCUGGUUCCCCCACCAGGCAGGUGGGCUAGCACCUGGGUAAGGGGCUUUGCAUCUGGAGCUGGUCAUGCCUCAGUCCAGAUCCUGCCUUUAUCAGUUGAUGGGCUGUUACCUGCCAGUGGUUAUGGUGAGGACUAAAUUACGGAAAGUCAUCAAGGAUCUUCAUUCAUUGCCCACCACAGAGCAGGCACUCAAUGGAGAACACUCACCACCAUCUAUGUUGUUAAUGUUGCAUCUGCAGCCCUUGGUUUCCUGGAAAGACUCUACAGUACAGGGGCAGGUUAGGGGCCACAACCAGGAAACAAGACACAUCUGAGAGAAUGCAUGGGAGCUUAUGGAAGGAUGUACAAGGCUGGGUGUGGGAAUCCCGGCACUUCGGGAGGCUAAGGUGGAAGGAUCACUUGCAUCCAGGAUUCAAGCCUAGCCUGGCCACGUAGUGAGACCCCAGCUCUACAAAAAAUCAAAAAUCAACUGGGCAUGGUGGCAUGUGCCUCUAAUCCAAGCUACUCAGGAAGCAGAGAUGGGAGGAUCGCUUGAGCCCAGGAGGUUGAGGCUGCAGUGAGCUGAGAUCAUACCACUGCACUCAUUCUGGGCAACAGAGUGAAACCCUGUCUCAAAAAUAUAAAUAAAUAAAUAAAUAAAUAAAUAAAUAAAGAAAGAAAGAAAGAAAGAAAGAAUUUACAAGAGGGGAGUUUUAGUGGUUGAAAAAUCAUUCACUCAUUCCAGGAGCAAGAGCCUUGUGGGUUUUCUUCCUGUUCUUGCCUGGGUUAUCUCUACUGAACCAAAGAAUCCUUGUUAGGAAUGCUCUGGUGGUGUCAAUCAAUGCGUUUAUAAAUCAUUUGCUUUUACCAUGGAAAAAGAUAUCACAAAACAACACAGCUGUAGUGCAGGUGCAGAUGACCAUGGAACGGCAGCCUGGCGUUUUCAGUAGAGCACUGGGCAGCAGAGUCCCUGGGCCUCGGAACCCCGGCCUGUUACCACCCAACACCAUCCCUGGGCAAAAUGCGAAACUCCCAUCAGAUCCAUGAAUGGAAAAUGGGCGUAAUUAUAAUUGCACCCCACUCUCUACCUCUCAGCUAAGGUGAGAAAUGAAUAUGAGGAUGCUCAGUGAAAAUGCUUUGAAGUCUGUGAAAUGCGAAGCAAAUGUGAAGCGAGAGGAAUAAUAAGGUUCUAAGGACCCACACUUGGGCGUUUGCUCUGAGCUGGCCCCUGUCCUCCACACUGAACCUACAGCCUCUCCUCUCACCUAAUCUGCACAAAAAUCUUACGAAGCAGACACACUUACCAUGCUGGCCUUUCCGUGAAAUUUCAGGUCUUAGUGUCGCCCAUUACUGGUGGCAUUUCAUGCCACAAGUUGGGCCAUCUGCACCUCCAAGCACAGGGUCACAGAAGACUUUAUCCCGUCCCUUGGGCUGACUGAAUGGUUGGUUUGUGUCAACCCCUGUUGUCCCUUUGAGCAACUCGGGGGCAAUGGUUAUGGGUAGGGCUUAAAAAACCGUCUGGCUGCAAACCCAGUGCUGAUACGAACAAGGCCUAGUCAGGCACUAAGUGUUUUGUGUUCCCCAAAGAGAUCUUAAUGAAAUCCCAGCAUGCCACUCACUCCUACACUUAAAAUACCUUUUAAGUGUAGGAAAGAAAGUGCUUUCAACCCCACCCCAGCCAUUUGGAUUCGGAGACUCCAUUUAAGAUGCACAGCUUUCCUCCAGCACAGGGGCUGGGUAUCCAAACGCAGAGCCUCCCCCAGACUCUCUCUAGGCUUAGCCUGGCUUGGUGGGCUCAGGAGGGAUUCAAGAUUAUUUCAUCCUUUAUGUCCAUUCGAUGACAGUUUAUCAUCAUUGCCACCUCAUACUCUAUUGUAGCCAAACAUCAUAACCAGCACCAUGUGAACUACGUCACUGACGCCACAUUCUUUUUCUCGGCUGUCACUAGGCUCAGGUCAGGACAGCCCUCCCGGCUGACUUCCGCGAUACUUUCUGUAUCUCCUUUUCAGUCUGCCCUAAAAUGACAGCUGGACUUCCGACAGUGGUUUCUUAUGUGGGACACAUGGCUCUUAUACUCUGGGUGGCACGGAUUCCUUUAUUGCCAGUGGCUUAAUUUUCCCAGAUCUAUUUCCAUGCAGACAGUGUGAGGUUGGACUUCAUGCCUCAUGCUCCUGAUUGGGGCUCGGAAGUCUAACCCAGCUUCCUGCAGUGCCGCCCCCAGCUUAUUCAAUGCCCAACCUGCAGGUCCUAAGUUGAACCCGCACACUGCACGCUCACCUGGUCUGUGCUGCCAGCUGCAUUGGAAAUGGAAGCAUUAAACACCGUUCUCCACUGUCAGCCACCUGCUAGCUAAUGAGUGACAUCAUUUAACACUGUUUUGAAAAGAGAGAUUUAAAGUUGUUUUGAAAACUGAAGGAAAAAUACAAAUGUUUGAGUGUUAAACAUUUUGCCCAAAUACUAAAAUGUGAAUGUCUUUUUAUUGUGACAGUUCACAGGAAAGCGGGCUAUAGCAUGCCUGUGCUUGUCAAUGAAAAUCUUAGCACUGAGUUUGGUAAACAUUCUGGCAGUCGGGAAGCCACUUAAAAAUAAAGUUUAAAGAAAAGAAAGAGAAGUGUUCACUUUCCUUCUAAUUUUCCCAGAUACGCUCAAUAUUCUGCUUUAUUUUUUAGUAUUUUAACUAAAAUAAGAAAACUCGGAUUCUACCUCUAUGUGUCCUAUGAUUGUUGUUGUUUUCUCUGAUUAUAAAAUACAGGUUUGCAGCAGAAAACUUGGCAAAACAGAGAUAUGAAGAAUAAAAUAAAAAUCACCUGUAGUUCUAAGCCAUGAGAAUAAUCAUAUAUAUAUUCCCUAGGUAUUCUGAAGCAUAUGUAUUACAGUCCAAAUAUUUAAAAACAAAAUUUGGGUAAUACUUUAGAUAGAGAGUUGUAUUCUGAUUUUUUCUAUUAAUAUUAUAACUUUGAAACGAGGGACUUCACCAUUGCUUUUAUUUUUCUUUGCUAUGUAAGUACUUAUGUUCUUUAUGAGGAAAAUAAAAACUAUAGAAAAGAAAGAUAAGAAAAUAAAAUCAGUAAUAAUCCCCUCACUUACAAAUGACUGCUGUUAACAUUUUAGUUUUUUGGUUUCUAUCUAUUUAUGUGAAAUUUGAAUGAAAAUAGUAUAAUUUCGCUGUCUCUAUAUUGCUUGGUAACAUAAUGAUUUAACUGUAUAAUAAAUAGUAUAUUACAUGAAUAUUUUGAGUAAUAGUCUGUGUGAUAAUUUUUAUUCGGUGUGUGGUGUUCCACUACAUAAAUGUAUUAUAGUUUAUUUCACAAAUAAACUCUUAUCAGAAACUUAUGUUGUCGUUAAUCUGUGAUUUAUAAUGAAGCUAUAAACAUAACUUUUAGCUAAAUAUUUAUGGAUACCCUUCAUUAUUUAUUUCCUAAAUAGUAGAAGUAGAAUUUUAUGGUCAAAUGAUAAAGACAUGAUUUUCUUACAUUCAGGAGAUAUUCUAUUAUAUGGCUCUACCAUAAUUUAUUUAUUUAUU